rnacentral:tRNA from 1 species
UUGUUAGCUCAGUUGGUAGAGCAGUAGACUCUUAAUCUAUUGGUCGUGGGUUCGACCCCCACAC